rnacentral:rRNA from 1 species
CCUACGGGAGGCAGCAGUGAGGAAUAUUGGUCAAUGGGCGAGAGCCUGAACCAGCCAAGUCGCGGGAAGGAUGACGGCCCGACGGGUUGUAAACUUCUGUUGUCAGGGAGCAAGUGGGUCCACGCGUGGGCUUAGCGAGAGGACCUGAAGAAAAAGCAGCGGCUAACUCCGUGCCAGCAGCCGCGGUAAUACUGAGGAUGCGAGCGUGAUCCGGAUUUAGUGGGUUUAAAGGGUGCGUAGGCGGUGAGGUAAGUCAGCGGUGAAAUGCCCCCGCUCAACGGGGUGAAGUGCCAUUGAUACUGCCUUGCUGGACUGCGGCUGCCGUGGGCGUAAUGUGUGGUGUAGCGGUGCCAUGCUUCGCUAUCACCC